AGCGGCGGGAGGAAGAUGGAGACCCACAUCUCGUGCCUGUUCCCGGAGCUGCUGGCCAUGAUCUUCGGCUACCUGGACGUCCGAGACAAGGGUCGCGCGGCGCAGGUGUGCACGGCCUGGCGGGACGCCGCCUACCACAAGUCGGUGUGGCGGGGCGUGGAGGCCAAGCUGCACCUGCGCCGGGCGAACCCGUCGCUGUUCCCCAGCCUGCAGGCCCGGGGCAUCCGCCGCGUGCAGAUCCUCAGCCUCCGCCGCAGCCUCAGCUACGUGAUCCAGGGCAUGGCGAACAUCGAGAGCCUCAACCUCAGCGGCUGCUACAACCUCACCGACAACGGCCUGGGCCACGCGUUCGUGCAGGAGAUCGGCUCCCUGCGCGCUCUCAACUUGAGCCUCUGCAAGCAGAUCACCGACAGCAGCCUGGGCCGCAUAGCCCAGUAUCUCAAGGGCCUGGAGGUGCUGGAGCUGGGAGGCUGCAGCAACAUCACCAACACCGGCCUUCUGCUCAUCGCCUGGGGGCUGCAGCGCCUCAAGAGCCUUAACCUCCGCAGCUGCCGCCACCUCUCGGACGUGGGCAUCGGGCACCUGGCCGGCAUGACGCGGAGCGCUGCCGAGGGCUGCCUGGGCCUGGAGCAGCUCACGCUGCAGGACUGCCAGAAACUCACGGAUCUUUCUCUGAAGCACAUCUCGCGAGGGCUGACGGGCCUCAGGCUCCUCAACCUCAGCUUCUGUGGCGGCAUCUCGGACGCGGGCCUUCUGCACCUGUCGCACAUGGGCAGCCUGCGCAGCCUUAACCUGCGCUCCUGCGACAACAUCAGCGACACCGGCAUCAUGCAUCUGGCCAUGGGCAGCCUGCGCCUCUCCGGUCUGGAUGUGUCUUUUUGUGACAAGGUGGGAGACCAGAGUCUGGCUUACAUAGCCCAGGGACUGGACGGCCUCAAGUCCCUCUCCCUUUGCUCUUGCCAUAUCAGUGACGAUGGCAUCAACCGCAUGGUGCGGCAGAUGCACGGGCUGCGCACGCUCAACAUUGGACAGUGUGUGCGCAUCACGGACAAGGGACUGGAGCUGAUCGCUGAGCACCUGAGCCAGCUCACGGGCAUAGACCUGUACGGCUGCACCAGGAUCACCAAGCGCGGCCUGGAGCGCAUCACGCAGCUGCCCUGCCUCAAGACAGGAUUUCUCUGUAUUGCUGGCACCCGUCCUGGAACUCCCUCUGUAGACCAGGCAUUGAAUCCCUUGGAGCUGGACUUACAGGUGGCUGUGAGCCCCCUGACAAGGAUGCUUCCAACAGACCAAAGUCUUCUGAGUCUUCUGCAAGAGCCUCUGAUAAUCACUGAACUACACCUCCCCCCCUCCCCGCCAACUGCCUUCCCUUUGAUUCAACGUUAAAAUUGCUUGCUCUUCCAUUUGGUGAUAAAACUUUUUAAACCUUCAGUCAAAGAAACAAAAUCCCUUCACUGGGGCCAACCUGCCAAGAUUAACAGAAGAUCCCACUGGUUUGUUUCUUACUUUUACUGGAGAAAAAUUAACUUGCCGAGCUUCACAGUGACCCACUUAGCAUGGCGUUCACAGCUCAGAUGGCACAAGAAGGAACACACGUGGUGAAAUGCUGGCCCCUUACUCGUGGUCUGUUUCAUGCAGGUAUGAGCUAACAGGCGACUUCAACCUCACCUAUCACACUCCCACCCUGACUGUCAGCUUCAAGGACACAGACUUCACUGCAAGGUCACACUGAAAUGGCAAGGCACUGGAAUCCUUUCACUUGGCAGGUGGAUUUGUGCAAGGCCUUGGAAGCCUUAUGUAUCCAGUACUUUGAGAAUAGUCCCCAUAAUCACAGCCUACUAGAUACCAAUUUGGGAUGGACACAAGGCAGAUUCUAUUCUAUCCCGAGGGUUGGGAAAAAUAAACUCUACAAUUAACUAUCGCCAUGUAAAAAUAUGAUAUGUUCAAGUAUAUCUAAGCUAUAUGCAGGAUCCUAUUCUACAGGAGUGACUAAAUGACUUUCCGGACUAACAGUCACAGGACCAGCUAAUGAUUAGUGGUAAAAUAAGGCCACCCAGGGAGAGCCGUGCUGCUGGUUGGGGCAUAUCUAACUGGCCAGUGUUCUUGACCAGGAACAAAGUGGAAGGAGCUGAGUUCUGAGGUAGCAUGGGGCAGCCACUCAGACCCUAAGAUCCCCAGUCCUGGCCCAGACACAGAGCAUUCACCAUACCCUAGAACUGACAUGGGCACCGCUCCCUCUUUAACCCCACUCAACUCUCCCUUCAUAGCCAGACAAGAAACCGCUCGUGACACGAGCUGCUGCAUCCAGGGAAGACGGCAGUCACUCACGGAGAGCACGAUGUUCCUCCACUCAGCUUGCAGCUGUGCCAUCCCCUGCCCCGCCCCAUCGUGGCCCCGCCUCAGAGCCCGGGGGCCACACUUCCACUGGCAGCUCCUGCAUCUCUGCUCACCUGAUAGGAAAGGAGCACCAGGAAUGUACGCUCCCAGGAACUCAACCAAUGACUGGCAGGAGCUGCACGUGUGGACUCCAGCCCUGGUUUUCUUGGACGUGUCCUACCCUGGGCAGAAGGCUGGAACUCCCAUGGAUCACAGCGAUCUCCUGCUACUGACUCCACAACCACGUUUCAUUGGCCGCCUUCCCUCCCAUCAUCUCACAUUCCCACACCUCCCUGCCGGGCCAUUCAGCAGAUCGAGAUGUGAGCUCUCAGCUAUUUCUGCUCUACCAUCAUGGACUCUCACCCUCUGAAACUACUUAUCUUAUUGCUAUGUAUGUGAUGCCUGGUGCACACAGGACAGAAGAGGGUGUCAGAGUUCAUGGACCCAGAGCUUGGCAUGGCUGUGAGACCCUGAUGGGUGCUGGGAAGGGAACUCUGGUCCUGUGCAAGAGUGACAGCUGGUCCUGACUGCCGAGCCAUCUCUCCAUCCCGAGACUUUGGAAUCUUUUUUUUGUUUGUUUUUUGUUUUUUACGAGACAGGGUUUCUCUGUAUUGUUUGGAGGCUGUCGGUCCAGCACAGCCUCGAACUCACAGAGAUCCGCCUGCCUCUGCCUCCUGAGUGCUGGGAUUAAAGGCGUGCACCACCACUGCCCGGCGAGACUUUGGACUCUUAUGAGAUGCUGACUCUCCAAAGAGAUGGGAUUUUUAAAAGACUGCGGGAUUUUUCAACGUUGUGCUAUGUUUCAUAUUGUGGUAUUAAUGUGAACUCUUGGGGACAAACAUGAAAGGAAAGUUAACGUUUACAGUGAUACAUUUAUGUGUCAAGUUGACAAGGGGUCAGUUAUCCUGGUUAGUUUUUGUCAACUUGACAUAAACUAAAGACUCCUGAGGAGAGGGACCCUCAACUGAGGAAUUUACCCUAUCAUACUGGCCCGUGAGCAUGUCUGUCAGGCAUUUUGUUAAUUAAUGAUCCAUACCUGGGGACCCAGCCCACUGUGGUCUUGGGUUGCCCAAAAAACCAAGCUGACAAAUCACAGGAAACACAUGGGUAAGAUUCCCUCCAUGGUUCCGCUUCUGUUCCUGAUUGAGUUUCUGCCCUGGUUUCCCUCAGUGAUGGACUAUGGAAGUAAAAGCCAAGUAAACAUUUUCCUCCCCAAGUUGCUUUUGGUGGGUGUUUUAUCACAGUCACAGGCAGUCUAUCAACUACCUAGCCAGGGGACCACUCCUCAGGAAGGCUGACUCACUUAAAGCCAUGCUGAAGAGAUGGGAGGAAUACAUCAUUCUCUUUUCCUCCCCUAAAACCCGGACUUCAGGACUGUCACUUAUGGAGCAGCCAUGCAGCUCUGCUAAGCCUGUCCACUUAACUCAGAAGGGUGUAACAUUCCCGUUUCUUUUCUUUCUUUUUCUUUUUUCUUUUGGUUUUUCCGAGACGGGGUUUCUCUGUGGCUUUGGAAACUCUCCUGGAACUAGCUCUUGUAGACCAGGCUGGUCUCAAACUCACAGAGAUCCGCCUGCCUCUGCCUCCUGAGUGCUGGGAUUAAAUGCGUGCGCCACCAACGCCCUGCUAACAUUCCCUUUUCUAUCUUGUUUUAAAAUAGGGUCUCAAGAUGCAACCUUGGCUGGCCAGAAGCUUCCUUUGUAGACCAGGCUGGCCACAGACUCACAAAGAGCUGCCUGCCUCUGCCUCCUGAGCCAUGGGACUAAGGGCUUGUGCCACCACACCCAUCGUCUUCUUUCUGGGUACUAGCUAAAAUCUAAACUUCCAUUUUUUCUGACACUUUAGACUGUCUCUGAAGUUCCUCUACUUUAACUGUGUAGCUUUCUUGCUGCUAUGGGCCUGCUUGCUGGCCCCAGUCAAAAGGCAUGGCUACCUGCCUUCCUCUUCUCCAUGUCCCUCCUCCCUGCAGCUACUGGGGUGUACAGAUGGCUCAACCUGAUGUUUUCUCCCCAUCCCUCAUAAUAAAAUUGUCCACAAGCAUCCUACAAACUCCUGCUUUAAAUCACUUUACUAAUAUGAACUCAAAGGAGAACCCAUUUUCACAGUAACACAGAAGUUUCAGGGUGACAUACAUACAUACAUACAUACAUACAUACAUACAUACAUACAUACAUGUGACGUCCUGAAAGACUUCACAGGGAUCUACCUGCCCUGCCUCUGCCUCCCAAGUGUGGGGAUUAAAGGUGUGGUGCCACGAUGCCUAGACUCCUAGUAACACUUUUCGGGGCAUCACACGUUUGAGAGUAGGAUUGUAGCAUCUACCCUACUUGAAAUACCUUGAGCUUCCUGGAUCAAUGGUUUGUGCCUGGCAUUAUCUUGCAGAAAUCCUUAGCCAUUGUUUCAAGUAUUUCUUCUCCCUGUCCUGUCCUUCUGGUGUCCCCAUUACAUGUCGUUACACCUGUUGUGCUUGUCUCAGAGUUCUGUUUUCGUGGGGAAUUUGUUUUCUCUUUUAAUUUAAAACCGAUUUACUAUUCAGUAUCCCUAAAAUGGCAUAAAUAUACAUUCAUAUUUGUAUUUAUAUAUUUAGAAACAUAUCUACAAAUGUUUUGUUUCAAUCAGAGAUAAGGGUUGGAACAUAUGCCCUAGACACAAAGUGACACAGGUCAUCUGAAGAUACUCAUUUUUUUUUUUUUGGAAAUUUAACUUUUUAUUUAGAGUGUAUUUAUCAAAGAAGGCAUGCAAGCAUUAUACUGUUUUGUUUUUUUUAAACAAUCCGAUAGUUCUUUAAGACUUACAUAAGAGCUCCCUAACUCUCAACUAUCAUGCCAAAACCUGUUUCCCAUCACCAAUCAUUCCAACCUUUUAACUCGUUUCAGUGGGGAAUUUGAGACACAGUCUCACUAUAUAGCCUUGUUUGACCUGGAACUCACACUGUGUAGACCAGGCUGACCUCAAACUCAGAGACCCGCCUGCCUCUGCCUACCCACUACUGGGAUUAAAGGCGUGUAUCUCCACAGCUGGCUGUCUCAUAGUUCUUACUCGAAUCUCUUUAUCCCGAAUCCUUUUUUCCUCCUAGAUUUUCAGCUUUGCAGGUUUCUCCUGGUGCACCCUUAACGCAGAGAUGCCUCUUAGCUGUGUCCAUGGGGCGCUCCUUCCUUCCUUCCUUCAUUCCUUCCUUCCUUCCUUCCGCUAAGUGGCUUUGCUCUUUAGCUUUUCUUUUGUUCUGUUUCUCUCCCAUUGCUCAUCUGUUCUUACACAUUGCCUGCCUUUCCAUUAGAGCGCUAGCACAUUAAUCAUCGUCUAAAAUUCCUAGUCUGUUAGAGCCAACAUCCCUGCGACAGCUGAGUCUGGCUUUGAUGUUUGCUCUGUCUCAUUAUUUGCAUGUUAUUAUGUCUUGAGAUUUUUUUUUCCUUCACAGCCAGACAUGACUGAAGUCUUAGUCAUGUUGCUAUACGAAAAUACCUGCACCUGGGUAACUUAUAAAGGAAAAAAGUUUCUUCCGGUUCAAGUUUCUAGAGGCUGGAAAGUCAGUGACUGGCUAGCCGAAUCUGGUGAGGUUUUCCUUGCGUCACGGAGGAAAGCAAUACAAGAGAGCACACACAGAAGACAGAACAGAAGAGUGGACGGCUCCUCACUCCUCCAUCAGGGCAGCUUCAGACUUAGCCUUUGUUUUUGUUUCAGCUAAGACUCUCAUGGAAAACCAGCCAAAGUCACAAAGCCACUCUUUCUUCUGAGUAACUUAGAGUAAAUUUGGCUCCUUAAAUGUUGGAUUGAGCCAGGCGUUGGUGGCGCACGUCUUUAAUCUCAGCACUCGGGAGGCAGAGGCAGGCGGAUCUCUGUGAGUUCGAGGCCGGGCCGGACCGACAGCUUCCAAAACCCUGUCUCAUAAAACCAAAACAAAAAAUGUUGGACUGAGUAUGCCCACAAGUGUUUGUAACCACCAUAUUUCCUUCUUGCUCUAUGGCAAGCUCACGAUUGCCCACCACUAACGUACUCUCCUAUAAAGGAAAUAAAAACAAAAAUCCCCCUACUUCCUCUCCUUGGAGAAGCAUUACUUUUGAAGCGGUCCCAAUGCUCUCCUUGUCGUGGUUAAGAACUCUUUCUCCACUCUCUUCUCCUGGAUGAGCUCCUGGGCUUUGUGUAGGGACAUAUGUCCUGACUUUUGGGAGCAAGAACUCACAGGGAAAGGCAUUGCUACUCUGUGGCGCUCUGCUCCCGGGACCCAUCUCCCACCACUGCCACACCGAGGAAUUAAUGGUUUAACCCACAGACACAGCUGACCUGAACAUUCUUGGACUCCAGAUUGAUGGCUGUGUGGACAGCAUGGGACUGACCCAGACUCCUGGAGAUUGGGUGGGGGACUGGGGGACC